AUGGGCAGGACUGCCUAUCAGCGAUCCGGUCGAGCCUGCUGCUUUUUAUGACUUGACUUGUUGAAACUCAAGCCACGCCUCGGUGAGUACAUUCUGCACACACCACCCCAUAAACAGGUGCCAGACUGCUGGCGUCAUCCUAUUUCCACAAGUUUUCUUUGUCUAUCCACAUUAUUUAUGGCGGAAUUUUCCCACCUGCAAACAGGAAGCCCUUUGAGCAUUUUCCUCCUUUCUAGAAAGAAAGGUUUGUCCCUGUUCUCAAGCAUAAAGGGCGAGUGACGGAUUCAUGGCGCCCUGCUCCCGGGACAGGACAGUCCUGCUCCCUUAGGUGCAGCCAAUCAAAUCACAGGGCCGAUUUUAGCUUGGAUAAGCCUCUUCUGAAAGAAGUCCUGCUAAAGUAAUAACGGGCUAAAUCCUCUAUCUGAAAGGCCCUGGACGCGAGGGGCUGGGAAACGCUGACUCCACGUUCUCGUAACCACAGUGGCUGUAUGGCCGCAGCGUAGGUAUGAAGCACACGCAGCUGGUUUGUGUCAGUGUCGAGGGUGGAGACGGGCUGUUUGCCCAGCUGGCUGAGGUGAGUAGGUGCCUCUGCUUAGACCUCACCCGCCCUGAAUGGAGGAGGAGAAAGUCCAAUUGCUGAAAAGCAGGCUUUCCGUGGGUUGCAGCCUCCAAAGUCAGAGACCACCCCCGAAUUCGCCUCUGAUAAAAUCCUGAGGGACGCUGGGCACCCUGAGUCGCCAUGGGCAACGAGAGCAGCACCUUGGACAACCAGCAAGAGGACUCCGGCUUACAUAACGUCAUCCUGUGGCCUCCAAACCCUGAACCUCCGCAGGUACUGGGGAAUGUGCUUGGCAUGGUCUGUUUUCCAGCCCCUUCCUAACAUCUAGAUGGUUGCAGACUU